rnacentral:rRNA from 1 species
GUUAUAGGGUCAAGCGAACAAGUGCAUGUGGUGGAUGCCUUGGCGAUCACAGGCGAUGAAGGACGCGGUAGCCUGCGAAAAGCUUCGGGGAGCUGGCAAACAAGCUUUGAUCCGGAGAUGUCCGA